rnacentral:tRNA from 1 species
GCCGGGAUGGCGGAAUUGGUAGACGCGGCAGACUCAAAAUCUGCUGGCCGCAAGGCCGUGAGGGUUCGAGUCCCUCUCCCGGCA